GUGCUUGCUUUGGCAGCACAUAUACUAAAGUUAGAACGAUACAGAGAAGAUUAGUAUGGCCCCUGCACAAGGAUGACAUGCAAAUAAGUUUUACUUAUUUAU